GACAGAGGUGCAAACGUUGUUCGGAAUUACUGGGCGUAAAGCGCGUGUAGGUGGCGAGGCAAGUCGGGUGUGAAAGCCCUGGGCUCAACCCAGGAAGUGCACUCGAUACUGCCUAGCUAGAGUCCCGGAGAGGUUGGUGGAACUCUCGGUGUAGAGGUGAAAUUCGUAGAUAUCGAGAAGAACACCGGUGGCGAAGGCGGCCAACUGGACGGUGACUGACACUGAGACGCGAAAGCGUG
rnacentral:rRNA from 1 species